UACGGAGGGUGCAAGCGUUAUCCGGAUUCACUGGGUUUAAAGGGUGCGUAGGUGGGUUGGUAAGUCAGUGGUGAAAUCUCCAGGCUUAACUUGGAAACUGCCAUUGAUACUAUCAAUCUUGAAUACCGUGGAGGUCAGCGGAAUAUGUCAUGUAGCGGUGAAAUGCUUAGAUAUGACAUAGAACACCAAAUUGCGAAGGCAGCUGGCUACACGAAAUAUUGACACUGAUGCACGAAAGCGUGGGGAUCAA
rnacentral:rRNA from 1 species